UGGGGAAUAUUGCACAAUUGGCGCAAGCCUGAUGCAGCCAUGCCGCGUGUAUGAAGAAGGCCUUCGGGUUGUAAAGUACUUUCAGUCGGGAGGAAGGUGGUAAGGUUAAUAACCUUAUCAAUUGACGUUACCGACAGAAGAAGCACCGGCUAACUCCGUGCCAGCAGCCGCGGUAAUACGGAGGGUGCAAGCGUUAAUCGGAAUUACUGGGCGUAAAGCGCACGCAGGCGGUUGAUUGAGUCAGAUGUGAAAUCCCCGGGCUUAACCCGGGAGUUGCAUCUGAUACUGGUCAGCUAGAGUCUUGUAGAGGGGGGUAGAAUUCCAUGUGUAGCGGUGAAAUGCGUAGAGAUGUGGAGGAAUACCGGUGGCGAAGGCGGCCCCCUGGACAAAGACUGACGCUCAGGUGCGAAAGCGUGGGGAGCAAACAGG
rnacentral:rRNA from 1 species